GACGAACGCUGGCGGCGUGCCUAAUACAUGCAAGUAGAACGCUGAAGGAGGAGCUUGCUUCUCUGGAUGAGUUGCGAACGGGUGAGUAACGCGUUGGUAACCUGCCUGGUAGCGGGGGAUAACUAUUGGAAACGAUAGCUAAUACCGCAUAAGAGUAGAUGUUGCAUGACAUUUGCUUAAAAGGUGCAAUUGCAUCACUACCAGAUGGACCUGCGUUGUAUUAGCUAGUUGGUGAGGUAACGGCUCACCAAGGCAACGAUACAUAGCCGACCUGAGAGGGUGAUCGGCCACACUGGGACUGAGACACGGCCCAGACUCCUACGGGAGGCAGCAGUAGGGAAUCUUCGGCAAUGGACGGAAGUCUGACCGAGCAACGCCGCGUGAGUGAAGAAGGCUUUCGGAUCGUAAAGCUCUGUUGUAAGAGAAGAACGAGUGUGAGAGUGGAAAGUUCACACUGUGACGGUAUCUUACCAGAAAGGGACGGCUAACUACGUG
rnacentral:rRNA from 1 species